CAGAGGAAAUUGCACGAGAGGAAGCAGGAAGUGGAGAGCCUUCCAUUUUGAGCAACUUGCCUCAUGUGGAGCAUUUGCAGUUUUAAAUGGUGCUGUAUGGGGUUGAUGGCCUGCCGCCACAUGUGCACCUGGGUUAGCACAAAGAUAGAAUACAAUGCACCAAAGAGGAGAUGUAGGCUGUUGCCUGACAACCUCCUUUGGGAGACUGACUCCACUGGAUAUCGGCAACUAAAUCAACUGAGGGUUGCCUGUCGAUGCGGAUGCCAAGACCAUCACAAAGCAGCAUUAUUUUAAUACUUCUGGACUAUAUAUUCAUUAUAUGCAUUUUUGUUUGUUUGUCUAUAACCCCCAGUCCACUGUCCACAAUCCAUGUUUUCUGCCAUCUGCUUAUCCUGACAACACCAUCACGUUUGUGCUUACAAACCUUUCUGUAACGUGUUUGUUAAGUUGCCAGUUGUUGAAUUUGUGUUAACUUUAAGUUAUACAAAAUUAUUUUGGGUAAGAGUAGAGGUUUUUAGGAUAAUCAACAAUAGCCCCAGUUCCUACUCAGAUACAUCUACGAGGGACUGAAGGACAGACUUUUAGAAAAGAGGACCAUUUACCAAUAUGGCUAGGUUCCAUCUAUCCACUGGUUGCCCAGUGAGACCCUGUGACUUGAACUUCUAUAUAUGCUUUUUAACAUGUUUAGAAUAGAUACAUGUCCCUGCUUUGCUGUACAAUAAAC